rnacentral:rRNA from 1 species
AUUGAACGCUGGCGGCAGGCCUAACACAUGCAAGUCGAGCGGAUGAAGGGAGCUUGCUCCUGGAUUCAGCGGCGGACGGGUGAGUAAUGCCUAGGAAUCUGCCUGGUAGUGGGGGAUAACGUCCGGAAACGGGCGCUAAUACCGCAUACGUCCUGAGGGAGAAAGUGGGGAUUCUCGGACCCUACCGCUAUAGAUGAACCUAGGUCGGAUUAGCUAGUUGGUGGGGUAAAGGCCUACCAAGGCGACGAUCCGUAACUGGUCUGAGAGGAUGAUCAGUCACACUGGAACUGAGACACGGUCCAGACUCCUACGGGAGGCAGCAGUGGGGAAUAUUGGACAAUGGGCGAAAGCCUGAUCCAGCCAUGCCGCGUGUGUGAAGAAGGUCUUCGGAUUGUAAAGCACUUUAAGUUGGGAGGAAGGGCAGUAAGUUAAUACCUUGCUGUUUUGACGUUACCAACGGAAUAAGCACCGGCUAACUUCGUG